CUCAGGGUAGCUCAGUUGGUAGAGCAGGCGCACCAUGCGCAGAGGCUAUAGUCAUUGAUGCAUUUGUCUUGGGUUCAAUUCCUGAUCUUGGGC